rnacentral:rRNA from 1 species
CUCCUUCCCAUCCCGAACAGGACAGUGAAACGACUUUGCGCCGAUGAUAGUGUGGAUUACCCAUGCGAAAGUAGGUCACCGCCAGGC